rnacentral:rRNA from 1 species
UGCAAGUCGAGCGCGGGAAGCAAGCAGAUCUCCUUCGGGAGUGACGCUUGUGGAACGAGCGGCGGACGGGUGAGUAACACGUGGGCAACCUACCUGUAAGACUGGGAUAACUCCGGGAAACCGGGGCUAAUACCGGAUGAAACAAAGCGUCGCAUGACGCAAUGUUAAAAGGCGGCAUAUGCUGUCACUUACAGAUGGGCCCGCGGCGCAUUAGCUAGUUGGUGAGGUAAAGGCUCACCAAGGCAACGAUGCGUAGCCGACCUGAGAGGGUGAUCGGCCACACUGGGACUGAGACACGGCCCAGACUCCUACGGGAGGCAGCAGUAGGGAAUCUUCCGCAAUGGACGAAAGUCUGACGGAGCAACGCCGCGUGAGUGAUGAAGGUUUUCGGAUCGUAAAACUCUGUUGUUAGGGAAGAACAAGUGCCAUUCGAAUAGGUUGGCACCUUGACGGUACCUAACCAGAAAGCCCCGGCUAACUACGUGCCAGCAGCCGCGGUAAUACGUAGGGGGCAAGCGUUGUCCGGAAUUAUUGGGCGUAAAGCGCGCGCAGGCGGUCCUUUAAGUCUGAUGUGAAAGCCCACGGCUUAACCGUGGAGGGCCAUUGGAAACUGGAGGACUUGAGUACAGAAGAGGAGAGUGGAAUUCCACGUGUAGCGGUGAAAUGCGUAGAGAUGUGGAGGAACACCAGUGGCGAAGGCGACUCUCUGGUCUGUAACUGACGCUGAGGUGCGAAAGCGUGGGUAGCGAACAGGAUUAGAUACCCUGGUAGUCCACGCCGUAAACGAUGAGUGCUAGGUGUUAGGGGGUUUCCGCCCCUUAGUGCUGAAGUUAACGCAUUAAGCACUCCGCCUGGGGAGUACGGCCGCAAGGCUGAAACUCAAAAGAAUUGACGGGGACCCGCACAACCGGUGGAGCAUGUGGUUUAAUUCAAACCAACGCGAAGAACCUUACCAGGUCUUGACAUCCUCUGACACCCCUAGAGAUAGGGCAUUCCCUUCCCGGACAGAGUGACAGGUGUUGCAUG